GCUGCACAAAAACUCCCUGACUUCCUGCAGGCAGCCUGUUUGAGCUCACCAGCUCAGUCCCAUGUGGUGAUAUGACUGUUGGGAAAACCCUGGAUUAAAGGAAGUGGCUGUUACAGUAACAUGCGGAUCGACCAGAAGGGGGGAAACACCACUGUGUGUGUGUGUGUGUGUGCGCGUGUGUGCGUGUGUGUGUGCGCGUGUGCGUAUGUGCGUGUGUGCGUGCGUGUCUAAGGGUGUGUAAAUUUAGGGUAACAGUCGACACAUAUUUAUGCUUCCAUUGUCAAUGUGAAUGUUUCUUUCAGGAACUAAAGAAUGGUCUCACCUGCUUUGGUUCCUCAAUGAUUUGGAUGUAAGGACCGUGAGCUGAAACCCAGACAAGAAAGUUUUAGUUAAUGUCAACACAUACACUUCUUGUGCAGAAUCUGGAUCAAUUCUGCAUUCAAAGGGAAAUCUGCAGUCUAUGAACCAAUCAAUAAGCUGAAAGGUCACUUCCUGGAAGUGGCCAGGCGGAGGAAAACCCCCAGAAUUCCAGAUCAGCACUGAGAGGGGCGGGGUUACAGCUGAUGAUGUCACACUACUGUUGCUGCUGUUCUUUAAAGACCUGAAAAAACGAAAAGACAAGGAAGUUGUUCUGCUCUGCUGAAGUGAUUUGUGUCAAUGCUCCAGGAAAUAUAUUUGCCCCAUUUCCCCACAACCUUUUACCUUGAUGUUCAUUUCUGUGUUCAUCGCUCUGUUAAAACAAGGCAGAGUCCUAAAAUAAGGUUUUUAAAUGAAUCUUAUUAUGAUGAAUAACAUUCAUAUCUCUACAUUUGGAUCUACAGCCACUAGCUUGUUAGCUUAGCUUAGCAUAAACAAUGUAUAGAUUUUUAUUUACAGUUGUUGUGUUGAAAACGGUAAAAAAAAAAAAAUCAGUAUUUUUUCAUUCAUAUCCACAAUAGAAGGUUUGCUUUUUGGAUGUUAAAGUCUUCCUGUCUUUCAGUCCAAUAAUGGUUAAUACCGACUGUGGGAGGGUUGUGAUUACAUUUUAAAUAUGUAAAUAAAAAUAAACUGUAUUUAUGUCGUGAUUUUCCAGUUUUCUG